CACCUAGGUAUACCUCUUAUGGGUGAUGAAGUGUACGGAGGUACGAAGAACAUGGCCCUUUCGCUUCUUCAGCCUAAAACACCACCAAUGUUUCAUGGGGAACUUUCACAAUUGGUGUCUCAAAUUGACAGACCUUGCCUCCAUGCUUUAACCCUCGGAUUUAGGCAUCCAUUCACAGGCGAGAAUAUACACUUUACGCGGUUACCCCCUCCUGAUUUUGCUGAGAUAUUAAGCGAGCUACGUGCCAUUAAAACUGAGAAGGUUUUAUGAAUUCAACACAACAUGAUACAUUGUUUUGAUUGAAUGUCCAUGUAAAAGGAGCAGCAGAUUCUUUGAUACUAGAUCAACUUAAUUUUCUCAUACGCUGACAUCUCGAACACAGUUGUGAUAAUGUAAUAGAUAGCUAUAAUGAGUUUAUUCUUUUCUUGU
rnacentral:misc_RNA from 1 species